CGUUUGUGAAAACAACAGAAAAAAGUCAAAGCCAAAAUAUCAGAAAGAAACCGGUUUAGGAUCCUUCAGAACACGUGCUAAAGUCAAGGCCCGGGGGCCGGAUCCGGCCCUCCAGCUUCAACAGAAGUCAGAAAGAAGAACUUCUGUUUACCAAAGACAGAUGAAUGCAGGAGAUCAAACGGAUAAACAAACAACAACAGUCUGCGACACCCCCCACAGAAAACAGUUCACCAUGAUGGUUGACGUCAGCCAUCGGUCUGAGUUAACGUUUCUAUGGUAACCACUCUCACCAGUCAGGAGGGAGCUUGUUGGAAGGCCACGCCCCCUUCCACUUAAAUAACUUUCCGAUCCAGACAAGCUCCUUCAUACCUUCAUGUUCUGCAAGCUGGACUUUUCAAAAAGAGUUUGGACCAGAACCAGAAGAACCAGAACCACACCGCUGCUGUUCUCCGAGCCUUCAGGGAGACCCAGACGGGUUCAGGAGUCCAGGAAACUGGUAGAACUCAGAACCAGAACCAGGCCGGAGCAGCUCAUCUGGGUUCGAUCUCCAUUCCUCCGGCGAGCUGAGAGUUUCUUGACCUGAACGGCGGCUCCAGGGUCACCGAUCCUCCGGUUUGGUUUUUACCUGAUGUGGUCUGAGGUUUCAGGUCUCUGGAAGCUCCUCCUCUCCACAGAAACGUCAGCUCAUCACAUUUACCGGAAGGCUAGAAUCUAGUUUUAGCUCACCUUUCAUAGCCUUGUGGGCGUGGCCAGCUUCGUUUGAACUUCAUUUCAACAACAUUGUGUAUAUGUGGUUGUUACCUGUCUUCAGGUAACGGUGAUGAUGACAUCAGAGGUCACAUGACAGAAACAGGAAACACUUUGACUUUUACACGCACGUUUAAUUUACCACAUGUAUGUGCUGAUAGAAAAAAAGCUGAGUGACAAAUCGCUGCUCGGCAACAUUCGGACCGACACGAGACGACGAGCAGAACCGAGAGGACCCGAAUCCAACCCCCCCACAAAGCAUGCAAACACUUCCUGUUCAGACCAUGCUGCUGCUGGAAUGAAGAGUAAAAAAGAGGGAUAAAAAAGUGAAAAA